ensembl:lncRNA
GAACAGAACAAGACAACUCCAACUGGGUGCAAUUUAAACGAAUAUUCAACGCUGGAUAACUACCAUUGAGCAGCUGAUGCAGCAUGGAUGACUUGGAUGACACCACACGUUUUGUGUUACAAGCUGCCGAGGUUGAUGAAGGGAUUUUGAAAACCCUCAGUCGGGAUGAUCUGCUGGAUCUUUUUCCUGGACCACAGCACUUUAUGAGAAGAAAGAAGUUGUGGGAUGGCAUUCAUCCAAAGGUACAGAGUGAGAAUGCAAUGGAUGAAGCUGUCAACCAGCCAUCCACAAGUGUCAUGUUGCCAAGCCAGCCCCAAACCUCCACCCCCAAAAGAAUUCAACCGAAAACCAUGAAAAUGCCGGAUCCUCCCGAGUAUGUGGUAUACUCAGACUCCGAACUAGACAUGGUCAGAAGCCAGUAUUUUGAACUGCUCCGCAGUGGGAAAGAAAGACAGUGUAAGAUGUCUAGAGAACUGCUUUGCCGACUGAUAAGGAACACCGUAACGAGCAUGGUGGCUAUCCUCCGUGCCAGUUGUUCAGGUCAAGAACAGAUGUACCCUUCAAAAAAUGAAAUCCAGG